UGCAUGUUGUAAGUACAGGCCGACUUAAGGCGAAACCGCGGACGGCUCAUUAAAUCAGAUAUAACUCAUUGGAUCUCUGCUGAACCGCACUACUUGGAUAGCUGUGUAAUUCUAGAGCUAAUACAUGCCUUGUAGUCUCCGUACCGCGAGGGAAGGAGCGCUUUAUUAGACCAAAACCCUCGGCGGCCGGGCCCUUCAACCCGGUCGGCCGCGAUCUCCUUUGGUGAAUCAGAAUAACUUUCGCCGAGCGCACGACCCCUCCCGUAACCCGGGUUGGGUCGGCGCCGCGUCCUGCAGGCGUCUGCCUUAUCAGCUCUCGAUUGUAGGUUAAACGCCUACAAUGGCUAUCACGGGUAACGGGGAAUCAGGGUUCGAUUCCGGAGAGGGAGCCUGAGAAACGGCUACCACAUCUAAGGAAGGCAGCAGGCGCGCAAAUUACCCACUCCCGGCACGGGGAGGUAGUGACGAAAAAUACUGUUGCGAGCCCCGAACGGGGCCUCGCAAUUGGAAUGAGUACACUUUAAAUCCUUGUACGAGGAUCGAGUGGAGGGCAAGUCUGGUGCCAGCCGCCGCGGUAAUUCCAGCUCCACUAGCGUAUAUUAAAGUUGUUGCGGUUGAAACGCUCGUAGUUUGACUUCUGCUCCGGACCGGCGGUCCGCCUUAGCGGCGGCUACUGCCGGGUUCCGAGCUGUGUCCCCGCCGGCGCGCACGGGGUUUUUUAUGCCCUUAACCGGGUGUCCCCCUGUGGCCGGCACGUUUACUUUGAAAAAAUUAGAGUGCUCAGAGCAGGCUGGUCUUUGCUUACAGCCCGAAUGGUCGUGCAUGGAAUGAUGGAACAGGACCUCGGUUCUAUUUUGUCGGUUUUUCGGAACCCGAGGUAAUGAUUAAUAGAAGCAGACGGGGGCAUUCGUACUGCGACGCUAGAGGUGAAAUUCUUAGACCGUCGCAUGACGACCUACUGCGAAAGCAUGG
rnacentral:rRNA from 1 species